CUUAGGAAGUUACACUCCCUUAAACUAACAAACCUCCUGAACUUCCCUUAACCCAUAAAUCUGAAGCUCCCUUCAAGCAAUAAAGGUCUUAAACCUCCCUAACUCCAUAAAUAUGUCAGGGCCCUGCUUUGCACUGAAAACCUUGACCUUUCUAAACAGCCCAAGGGUGGAUUUCAGAGGCAUUCAAGUUGCUUUGCUGAGAUCUUUCUCCUUUGAAGCUGAUGAGAGUUUUGUCACGGACUUCAAUCAGGAAGAGAUUUCACUCCCAGUAGGAAAGCUGUGAUUCCAUCACUGCUUCUAUUCAUAACCAUUGUCUCUCAAGAUCAGGAGGGAACCAUCACUUCCUCUCAAACUGCUGAGAUAAUGACCAGCCUAAACUAUGAAUGCUACCAACAAAGAGUUCUAAAAGACAGAAAGAUGACAAACAUUUAUUUUGUCACUGUCAUCAGUAUUUAUAUAGACAGCAUUCGUAAUACUGCAGCAUAACUGGAAUGCAUUUACUCCCUUUUGGAAAGAUCAGUUUAUCACAGAGAUGUAGGAAGGACAACUAAACUAGAUAUGUGAAACUUCUUUGGCUGACCUGAUCUUGAAUCUGAGGCUGAUUCUUCAGUAAUCUAUCUAUAUAUUUUUUUCUUGAAAUGCAGUCAGUUACAUUCAACAUGAAAUAUUUUUUGUCAUUUUCAGAACGUUUUUCAGGACAAAAAUCUACUUUCUAUCCAGCUCCAGUUCUGGAUAUCUGAUGGACAAUGUUGUUAAUGAACACGAGCUUUCAGUGCAACUUUGAAACUAAUAUACACUAAAAGAAGUUGUAAAUGUGAAUUGUAUUUAUUAUGCCUUAUUCUUUAAGAAGAAUCUCAUGCACCUACUUGCUUUCAUAGCUUAAUCCUAACAACUCCUAUAAACCACCAGGGAGGUGACUCUCCACUCGUGCUCUCCUGCUUCAUUACAAGCAUAUGGCUAUAAAUAUCUCUCUAUGAAAGCUGCUGCACGCCCAAGGGUUUUGAAGGCAGCUCCCAGACCUGAGUCCUUCCCAUUGCUC
rnacentral:lncRNA from 1 species